GACGAACGCUGGCGGCGUGCUUAACACAUGCAAGUCGAACGGAAAGGCCCUGCUUUUGUGGGGUGCUCGAGUGGCGAACGGGUGAGUAACACGUGAGUAACCUGCCCUUGACUUUGGGAUAACUUCAGGAAACUGGGGCUAAUACCGGAUAGGAGCUCCUGCUGCAUGGUGGGGGUUGGAAAGUUUCGGCGGUUGGGGAUGGACUCGCGGCUUAUCAGCUUGUUGGUGGGGUAGUGGCUUACCAAGGCUUUGACGGGUAGCCGGCCUGAGAGGGUGAACGGCCACAUUGGGACUGAGAUACGGCACAGAAUACAAAGGGAGGAAGAAGUGGGGAAUAUGGAAAAAUGGGCGGAAGCCUGAUGCAGAAACGCCGCGUGCGGGAUGACGGCCUUAGGGUUGUAAACAGCUUUAGCCUGUGACGAAGCGUGAGUGACGGUAAUGGGUAAAGAAGCACCGGCUAACUACGUG
rnacentral:rRNA from 1 species